rnacentral:rRNA from 1 species
UUCGCAAUGCCCGAAAGGGUGACGAAGCGACGCCGCGUGUGGGAAGAAGGCCUUCGGGUUGUAAACCACUGUCGGGAGUUAAGAAAUGCAAGGAUAUGAAUAGUGUCUUUGCUUGACUAAGGCUCCGGAGGAAGCCACGGCUAACUCUGUGCCAGCAGCCGCGGUAAUACAGAGGCGGCAAGCGUUGUUCGGAGUUAUUGGGCGUAAAGAGCACGUAGGCGGCUCUGCAAGUCAGCUGUGAAAGCCUUCUGCUUAACGGAAGAACAGCAGUUGAAACUACAGGGCUUGAGUGCGGGAGGGAAGAGUGGAACUUCUGGUGGAGCGGUGAAAUGCGUAGAUAUCAGAAGGAACGCCGGCGGCGAAAGCGGCUCUCUGGCCCAUAACUGACGCUGAGUGUGCGAAAGCUAGGGGAGCAAACGGGAUUAGAUACCCCGGUAGUCCUAGCCGUAAACGAUGGGCACUAAGUAGAGGGGUUUU